ensembl:lncRNA
GGCGGCUGAUGAGGCUGACAGACCGAUGAGUUGAUGAAGCUGAUAGAGAUUUGGCAGAGACGGGACGGCAGAGGGAGCAUGCCUGGUCAGUGUGACUCACCCUGCAGAGAUAUGCUGCUACAGGACUCCUCCACCAGAACACAGUCUUUGUUCUCUUCCAACUCCUGAGGAAAAUCUCUGGUUCGUGAGUUACUAACCGCAAUCACACCGGACCCGUUUGUUCACAACUACCCACCUGGGGUGAAAUGAAGUCCAGCCACUCACCGCUGCAGCUGGUAAAAUAAUCAACUUGUUUUUUCAAUUUUGAUAUUAAUGUCUUAAAUGAUCAGGUUCAAGAAGCUUUUGGCAGUGAAGCAUACAAAUCUUUUUCUCUUUUGAAAUGUACCUUCUUUAUUCUUGUUGUCUUGGGUCUGUUUCCUCUUAAAUGCACUUAUUGUAAGUUGCUUUGGAUAAAAGCGUCAGAGUCAGAACAUUUGAAAUGUAAAUGUGAAAACGGUUCUUAUGAGCAUAACAUUGCAACAAACAAAGAAUCCCAAAGAGCUUCACCAGUGGAUUGUACACCACAAAUGUUAAGAAACACAGCAGCAGCAAACAUAAACGGUAC